AUACGUAGGGGGCGAGCGUUGUCCGGAAUGAUUGGGCGUAAAGGGCGCGUAGGCGGCCCGGUAAGUCUGGAGUGAAAGUCCUGUUUUUAAGAUGGGAAUUGCUUUGGAUACUGUCGGGCUUGAGUGCAGGAGAGGUAAGUGGAAUUCCCAGUGUAGCGGUGAAAUGGGUAGAGAUUGGGAGGAACACCAGUGGCGAAGGCGACUUACUGGACUGUAACUGACGCUGAGGCGCGAAAGUGUGGGGAGCAAACAGGAUUAGAUACCCUGGUAGUCCACACUGUAAACGAUGAAUGCUAGGUGUAGGGGGUAUCGACCCCUUCUGUGCCGCAGUCAACACAAUAAGCAUUCCGCCUGGGGAGUACGGCCGCAAGGUUGAAACUCAAAUGAAUUGACGGGG
rnacentral:rRNA from 1 species